GGGGACUGAACCGGGGGNAUCGAUUCUUGGUCUUUAGAGGAAGUAAAAGUCGUAACAAGGUUUCCGUAGGUGAACCUGCGGAAGGAUCAUUACCGAAAUUGUCUUAUGACAAACCACUGUGAACUGUACACAUUCAGUGUGGGGUAGCCUUGAGCUUUAAAUCGAUCAUAGAUCAGCCCCACACACAUUGAAAACCUUAUUUAAACUACUUUCCUUUAAAACUUUGCAGGCUUUUAGUCUCAAAGUAGUGCCAAACGUGACAACUUCUAACGGUGGAUCUCUUGGCUCGUGCAUCGAUGAAGAACGUAGCCAGUUGCGAUAAGUAGUGUGAAUUGCAGAAUUCAGUGAAUCAUCGAAUCUUUGAACGCAAAUUGCGCUCUCUGGAUAUCCAGGGAGCAUGUCUGUCUGAGUGUCGUGUUAAAACCUACACACAGUUUGUGUGGCUUGGGAGCUCAGGUGACUCGUUUCACUUGUCUCUCGAAGUAUCUGAACCCGAUUUAGUGCAUGUUAAGUACUGAACGGAAGGCUCAACUUGCUUCUGUCCUUACGUCAGUGCUUGCAUCUCUAUGUAAAGGUUCUCUUUUCAGUGUAAGCUGAAAAAUUACCAUCUUUGACCUCAGAUCAGGCAAGACUACCCGCUGAAUUUAAGCAUAUCAAU
rnacentral:rRNA from 1 species